rnacentral:rRNA from 1 species
CAGCCGUAAGGAAUAUUGGUCAAUGGACGCAAGUCUGAACCAGCUAUGCCGCGUGAAGGAUUGAAGGUCCUCUGGAUUGUAAACUUCUUUUAUCUGGGACGAAAAAAGGUCUUUCUAGAGCCUCUUGACGGUACCAGAUGAAUAAGCACCGGCUAACUCCGUGCCAGCAGCCGCGGUAAUACGGAGGGUGCAAGCGUUAUCCGGAUUCACUGGGUUUAAAGGGUGCGUAGGCGGGCAGGUAAGUCAGUGGUGAAAUCCUGGAGCUCAACUCCAGAACUGCCAUUGAUACUAUCUGUCUUGAAUAUUGUGGAGGUAAGCGGAAUAUGUCAUGUAGCGGUGAAAUGCUUAGAUAUGACAUAGAACACCCAUUGCGAAGGCAGCUUACUACGCAUAUAUUGACGCUGAGGCACAAAAGCGUGGGGAUCAAACAGGAUUAAA